GAUGGGGAGGGGUUGCCAAGGUGCUGGGGGCUGGGGGUCAAUUAGGUCAAAGGUGAAGCAGUGCUGAGCCGACAUAGGAGCAGGCGGGUCAAAGAUGUGUUUUUGGCUACCAUACCAACUACCAGACUUAGCUCAAAUUACAUGUGAAUUAGACUUUGUACAAAAGGAAUUAAAUCCACAAUGGAACAGUUUUGUGGCAUCUGGUCAGUUUUGCCUCCUAGAGACCAGGUCUUCCACAAACUUGAGUCUGCCUUGGAGCACGCAUUGCUGGUGGCAGGAGGGGCAAACCCAGCUGUACAGCUUCUCAGACAAGGGCUGCUCACGCCCACCAUCUCCCUUCUACCCAAGAAUGAGUUAGAAACCAAGGACUGUCCGGGAUGCAGAGAAGGAGGAACCCACCACAGAUCAAUCUAAGGGGUACAUGUCAUACCCAUCUUCUCACUCGGGCCAGCUCCACUCUGGAGGAGCACAGCUUUCAUCUUCCCGACCAUGGAGACCCCAGAGCUGUGGAGAGGGAGGGGAGCCGCUGCAGUGAAUUAUAAGUGCUGACGUGUUUGUCAAUUGAUCGUCUGGCUGACGGC
rnacentral:lncRNA from 1 species